rnacentral:rRNA from 1 species
GACAGAGGGGGCAAGCGUUGCUCGGAAUCACUGGGCGUAAAGGGCGCGUAGGCGGGAUGGCAAGUCGGUCGUGAAAUCCUUCGGCUCAACCGAAGAACGUCGGCCGAUACUGCCGUUCUUGAGGGAUGCAGAGGAGAUUGGAAUUCCCGGUGUAGCGGUGAAAUGUGUAGAUAUCGGGAGGAACACCGGUGGCGAAGGCGGCGACCUGGACAGUAACUGACGCUGAGACGCGAAAGCGUGGGUAGCAAACAGG